rnacentral:lncRNA from 1 species
AGGGUUAUACUUAACUCCCAUCUUAUUGUUGCAGAUUUUUGUUGAAAUGUGAUAUUCACUAGGAUGCAUAUCUAUUCGAUUCUCAUUUGUAGUAUUAACCAUGCAUUUUUCGAAGACUGUUGAUAAAAAUCAAGCAUAAGGUAGACAGGUUGAUGCCUCAUUGUGACUUUCCAUAUGGUGCAUAAUCACAUAGGCCCAGUUUACCUGAAUGUUGUUCUUAAUAGAAAAUAAGAGUUGCAUUUCAGUGUCAGA